rnacentral:rRNA from 1 species
GCCUAGCCAUUAACACAAACAGUGAAAACACAACACUAUUCGCCAGAGAACUACAAGUAAAAAACUUGAAACUCCAAGGACUUGGCGGUGUCCCAACCACCCUAGAGGAGCCUGUCCUAUAAUCGAUACCCCCCGAUCCACCCUACCACUUCUUGAAACUCAGCCUAUAUACCGCCGUCGCCAGCCUACCCUAUGAAGGACCAAAAGUAAGCAAAAUAGUCAUUGACUAAUACGUCAGGUCAAGGUGUAGCACACGAAAUGGAAGAGAUGGGCUACACUCUCUUACCAAGAGAACACAGACAGCGAAAUGAAACACAACUCAAAGACGGAUUUAGCAGUAAGGUAGGCAAGAAAACCUAUCUUAAACUAGCCCUGGGACACGCACACACCGCCCGUCACCUCUCA